rnacentral:lncRNA from 1 species
AUUCAUGGAUACAACAUUGAACACGUCAACUCCAAGAGAUCACGAGAUCCCAUGUAUACAUGAGACGCACACAACCAGCAUCGAAAGGUGGGUACCCUCCCUAGCGUUCCACCACCAACCUAACCAGACCACUUCUCUAGAUGUAUCUACCAAGGCGUCGAGGUAGUUCACCUCGGCAACCUCUAGACGGUGGCGUCGAGGUCAUCCACCUCGACGACCUCCAGACAGCGGUAUCAAGGUCCUCCACCUCGACGACCUCCGACGUCGCAAUCACCUGGACAAUAAUCUGUGUGACGCGGUCGCCGGGCUUCACGGCGAAGUCUGUCUCCGAGUGGUUGAAGAGCACGAUGCCCACCGGGUCGUGGUAGUCUGUGUCAAGCACCCCUGUGCCCAGGCCAAGAAAAUGAGAACUUGUUAGUUCGCGUCUAUUAUGAAUCUUCGAAACGGAAAGACACCUACUAAAUGCAUACCCUAGCUAUACGUCUUCAUGCCAUCUUGUUGUUUUGGUGAAUACAAGAAUAUAGUACUCUGUGUAUUUGAGUUUAGAUAUUCCAUGCCAACUUCAAGUAUAUAUGCUACCAUGUAAUCUUUGAACAUUGAUCAAAAUGAGAUUUUGGGCUUUGUCAACCUUACCAUGAUCAGUACUAAAGGUUGCUCAACCUUUCCUUGUAGGGAGCAUUUCUUUCACCUACUAUCUCGUUGUUAAGUGUGGGAAGAAACCUGCAUCCCUUCAGAUAGUCAUCCAUAUCCUGAAGAAAAAAACAGUUUACAUUUUAUUACAGUAUUGCCCAUUAAAAAAUUGUUGCCUACUGAAGAAAAAAGUUGCUGAUAAAUAGCUAUCAAUAUGAACCCACAUAUUAUUAUAGUUUUGCCUGCUGAGCACAUAUUUUUCCUGCUCGUAGCCCUUCUGAAAACAGAUGCCGAAAAAAGCUAGACGAACAAAGAUGUCACAGUAUUUCCUACUUAACCAGUACAGAUGCUGAGAGUAUGUGCGGUAUUUUUCCUACUCAUCUUUCUCUGCGUUGCCUACAAAAAAAAUAACUCCUCUAAUUUGGUUGCCUAGACCCUGAAAAUCAAAAGCUAAUGCAACAUGGAUGCACAUGUGAUUUACUAUUCCCUUCGUGGAACACUAUCUGAAGAUAUCACUAUCCCUAAAAAGGAGCAACAAAGAUUGCUGAUCCACCAGACAUGAGUCGCUCAACGCAUCUGGACUCAUAUUGAAGACAAAAUCUAAACAUUUUUUCAUAAAACACUCUGAAGCUGCUGCAAUUUAUUCCCACAAUUACAUCUAGCAUAUCUAUAGAUGCUAGUACUGGCGAGGAGACCGCCUGAAAUGGAACUACAGGACCAUUUCCACAAUCAACAGCUGCAAAUCUAAAGUGGGUCGACGGAACACAAGGACCAAACGCCCACCAAAUCCUCUAACCGCGCAACAAGCAACGCGCAAAUCACCGACGAAUCAACCAGAUCGGAGCGGAGGCUACAGGGAAAGGCAAGAUUCGGGUAGCCGGGGGGCUCUCGCUCACCUGCUUGAGCAAGGAAGGGAAUCUGAUCCUGCCGCACUCGAGCGGCGGGCGCACAACGGAGACGGCGGCGCGUCAGCGGCGGCAACACAGGCGUAGGCGACAAUGUCGCGGCGCGGGGGCCAGUGCUCGGCGCCAGCAUCGACGCGGCGCACGAAGUCCGUGAUCAGCUCUGGCAACAGGCGGCACCACCUCUCCUCGUCGGCCUGCCCCCGGCGCCCGUGCUCGGUGGCGUCCUCAAGAGCGACCUCGGGUGAGACCUUGGCCUCGUUCCCGCCGACGAUGCCAUCCGGGGCGCACGAGCAGGACGUAAGCCAGGAUGAGCUGCGCCGCCACGCCAUGGUGGAACCUAGGGGGCAGGCGGAUGGGCGGAAGGGGCUGUGAGCUCUCUCCUCGAGAGCUUCCGAGGCAAGUGAUGGGGAGGGAGCGGAUGGGCGGUCGGUGGGGUGGGAAUAGAAUGCGGGGUGGGAGUGGUGGGAGGUGGGAGGUGGGAGAGUGGAGUGACACACUGUUAAGUGCUUUCUUAGAUUAUUUCAACUGCUUAGAUGUCUUGACAACUUAAAUCUAGCGUCGGUACACUUCCUUUUAACUAGGGAUAUGAACUGGCCCCGUUUGAUUCCGAUUAAAGUCCACUAGUGGUAUGAUAGUUCAAAAGAUUUUUUGUUUUUUGAGGAAAAUGAACUGGCGAGCUAGCAAAAACUAACUAGAUGGGACUGGCGAAUGCCAUUUAUUUUUCACUUACAUCCCUAGUUUCAUCUUACCGUUUUAAUUUCUUUUCAGCUGAUGCUGCUUGCCACCAUUUGUAUAUAGCUUGCCAUGCUCGGCAAUAAUUCGUAUGCCGUUUACCAUAUAAGCUUACUGCCUGGAUCAUGCGAUAUCUAUCUCUUACUUAUGUCAAGCGGAAACCUUUCAGGAUGCCAUUCACACUAGGACACAAUGUAAAACCCCGUAUUCUAUUUGUGGAAGCAGCUUGCCAUCCAUGUUACUAGAUGGUAGCAGUUCAGAGGCGACACCGCCGGAGAGCAGUCUGAGCACAGAUAUUAUAGUUCUUGAGGCUCUACUUGAGGUAGAAAGAGAUGGUGUGGCUGCCAUGAAUGAGGUAAUCUUGAUCUUGAGGCGAGAUAUUAUGCAAUUAGCUGCACGCAUUAUGCAAGCAACCCAAGAAUUGGAGGAAGUGAGAAUGCUGCAUCUGAAGACAGAGGAGGUCCUGCUGCUUUUGCUAUUUGAAGCCCAGGGUAAUCCCAGUUCUUCUUAGAUGCCAGUUGAAAUUGUCAUUAGAUUAGUAUACUUGCAUGUUGUGUCAUGUCUCUGAAUGGAUUAUGUUGUAGGACCCUCUAUGUUGUCCAUGUGUUGUAAUGAUCUGAAUUUUUUAGGCGAGGUAAUCAUCAGCACUUGUAUGAUUGACAUAAGGUGAACUAUUUUUCGUGUGAGCACAUUGUAUUGGAUGAAAUAACUAUUUGACACAAAGUAUAUCCAACCUACUGAAUUCAAAGAUCACAACAUUUGUAAAACAUAUUCAUAUAUAAAGGUGGAAUAAAUCUUUGCCGUGGUUUUGAAGAAAUAAAUAACAAAAUGUAGAAUGAUGUAUGGAUAAUCGUAAUUGAAUACAAAUUGGAUUUGAAUUUAGUUGCCAGGGCCUAGGGUAAAUGUGAAUGCUAAUUCUCCCAAAUUUUGAAUGAAGCAGCAAACACCCUCUAUCAUUUUUCGGCUGCCCGAAGCAAGUGUUUGCGAGAUAGAAAUUAUGGUCUACCCCUGACACUUCACAUCCUAAUCGACCUGAUUUCCACUGCUUCGAUAGGGGUAGACUAGUAACUUCAAUCAGACGUGACAUGACCGCCUCUGAGACCAUUCGUACACGAUGGACGCCAAACGUGGUCGGAAAAACACAUUUGAUUCAAGCUCGCCCGAAAGACCCAUGUCUCUCCCUCCAUUUCCCCAUUCAUAAACGGUGGGUGGAAAAACAAACUCUCCUCGUCUGAAAUCGAUGUAGGCAUAUAUUUUAAAUAGGGGCAGAUGUGUAACUUCCCUCAGACGUGACACAAUCACCCUACCUGUCAGCCCCAUUCAUACACUACCAGGAAAAAAGCUACUAGUAGCAUGGAUUUUUUGGCUAUCAGUAGCAUGGGCGCCCUCGCUACUGCUACGGUGCUACAACUAAAUAUUAGCAUUAGCAAUAGCAUGGUUUUUAUCUAGCGCUACUGUUAAAAAAUUAGCAGUAGCGCGUGCUACCCAUCUACUACUAUUCCUAACCCACGCUACUACUCUUCCUAACUACUACUAGCAUGCCAAUCUACCCCACGCUAUUGCUAAGUAAUUAGAAAUUAAAAAAAUUGGAUGCCAUAUUCAUGGAUGGAAAUCAAGACACAUGAAGGUCAAAGAACCAUCUUAGCACUUGCAUUCUUAGCACUUGCAGCAUUCAUGGAUACAACAUUGAACACGUCAACUCAAGGCGUCGAGGUAGUUCACCUCGGCAACCUCUAGACGGUGGCGUCGAGGUAGUUCACCUCGGCAACCUCUAGACGGUGGCGUCGAGGUCAUCCACCUUGACGAACUCCAGACGGCGGUAUCAAGGUCCUCCACCUCGACGACCUCCGGCGUUGCAAUCAC